GACAGAGGGUGCAAACGUUGUUCGGAAUUACUUGGGACGGUAAAGCGCGUGGUAGGCUGCUUCGCAAGAUUCGGGAUGUGAAAGCCCCUGGGCUCAACCCAGGAAGUGCAUUCGAAACUGCAGAGCUGGAGUCCUGGAGAGGAAGGCGGAAUUCGUCGGUGUAGAGGUGAAAUUCGUAGAUAUCGAGAGGAACACCCGGUGGCGAAGGCGGCCUUCUGGACAGUGACUGACGCUGAGACGCGAAAGCGUGGGGAGCAAACAGG
rnacentral:rRNA from 1 species